AGGUUUUACUCACGAGCUUGUCAAUCUUCUCCUUUCAGAUAGAACAGAGGGACUGAUGUAAUUGCCAAGUGGAAACAAGGAUAUGUAGAAGUGGAGGUGCACAGUAAAGAGAAGAGGUGUGUGGAGAUUUUCAGCAACAGGAAAGAGAAGAAAUCAAGCAGAGCACAAAUGUGGCCAUCUAAAGCAGAGAUGCCUCUGUGUGUUCAGCAGACACUCAUUACCCCCUCCCUCUCAGCUCACUCAUUCUUCACUAACCACCUUCUAGGAAUUGACACGGUUACACUUAUGCCCACUCUAUUAACCUUUGCCCAAAUGCACUUUUGCUCUCACUCUUGCUUGACCUGAUAAACAAGAUGGUAGAAUGGCUACUACCUUCCUGGAGCGUGGUCUGCAUCUUCAGAAGCUCAUGGAAAGUAAGUCAUUUCUACCAGUCUCUUCCAGAAAGUCAGGGAAGGCACAGCCCACCAUUCAGAAGAAAGAAAGGCAAUUUUCCUGGGAUUUCAAGAGUAUGAAAGGAAAAACUCCUUAUUGCAGCACUGGCAGUAACUGUACAAACAACAAGUUGUUCUGAAGAUUGAUUACACUCCCAAGUGUUGCUAUGACCAUGAGUCAAUGACAUCAGCAACUUAAUAUUUUACAUGUCAUAACAAAGUACUAGUAAAAAAUGAACAGGACUAACCAACUGGACAAAAUUCAGUUGUAAUGAGUUCAGGUGAUCUUAGAAAUCCCUCAGAAAUGGAAGGCAAAGCAGGUAUUGGGUGGUGUAGAAACCUCAGCAUUCG
rnacentral:lncRNA from 1 species